rnacentral:rRNA from 1 species
UUCAGUGAAUCAUCGAAUCUUUGAACGCACCUUGCGCCCCUUGGUAUUCCGAGGGGCAUGCCUGUUUGAGUGUCAUUAAAUUCUCAAACUCACUCUGGUUUUUUUUCCUUGUGAUAUGUGUAUAGUGGGGGGCUGUGGUGCUCGUGACGGGUCCUC